rnacentral:sRNA from 1 species
GCUGGUUGUGGUGGGGCACAUCUGUAAUCCCAGUGUUUUGGGAGGCUGAGGCAGGAGGAUUGCCAAUUCAGAGCCAGCCUCAGCAAUGGUGAGGCUCUAAGCAACUCAGUGAGACCCUGUCUCUA